CUUUAACAAUCUGGAACAAGCUGAAAAUUGAAACAUGACAGCUGAAACUUACUCCUCCGUAGAAGUACUGGAGUAAGGAGUACCUGUCAUAGAGUCUCUCAAAUGUAGCAAUACGAAAGUGGAAACACCUUCGG
rnacentral:sRNA from 1 species